GAGUUUGAUCGUGGCUCAGAACGAACGCUGGCGGCAGGCUUAACACAUGCAAGUCGAACGGACGUAGCAAUACGUUAGUGGCGCACGGGUGAGUAACGCGUGGAUAUCUGCCUUUUGGUUCGGGAUAACCUUGGGAAACUAGGGCUAAUACCGAAUGGUUCCUACGGGAUAAAGAUUUAUCGCCAAAAGAUGAGUCCGCGUCCGAUUAGCUAGUUGGUGGGGUAACGGCCCACCAAGGCGACGAUCGGUAGCUGGUCUGAGAGGACGAUCAGCCACACUGGGACUGAGACACGGCCCAGACUCCUACGGGAGGCAGCAGUGGGGAAUAUUGGGCAAUGGGCGCAAGCCUGAUCCAGCCAUGCCGCGUGAGUGAUGAAGGCCCUAGGGUUGUAAAGCUCUUUCACCGGUGAAGAUAAUGACGGUAACCGGAGAAGAAGCCCCGGCUAACUUCGUGCCAGCCGCCGCAGU
rnacentral:rRNA from 1 species